UUUUUUUUUUUUUAUGUUGUAGGAUAGGGCCUCAGAAAGAGUUCCUCAGGUCUUUGAACAGAUCUGGCCUGUGUCGUCCUGAAUCCAAAGAAGAACCACUGAAGCCAUCAGUAAACCCAGCUCUUUGCACAAUGACUGAAAUGUUGCUGGUCUUCAUUAAAUAAUAAUCACAUUUGGGGGAAAAACUUCUGCAAUUAGGAGUGUAGGAUCCAGAGUCAAACUGCCCUGGUUCAGACCUUCACUCCAUACUUCACUGUGUGUCUCGAGGCAAGUACGUCAUCCUUUCUGAGCUUCAUUUUCUCAUUUGUAAAACAAGGAGUCUAAUAGAACUUUCAAAAGGUUGGAAGAAUAGAGGCGCCUGGUUUGGUUGUUAGUUAAGUGUCUGACUCUUCGCUUUGGCUCAGGUCAUCAUCUCAGGGUCAUGGGCUUGAGCCCUGAGUCAGGCUCCAUGUUCAGCAGGGAGUCGUCUUGAGAUUCUCUCCCUCAGCCCCUCCCCCUACUUACUGUCCUAAAAAUAAAUAAGUAAAUCUUAAAAAAAAAAAAAAAAAAAAAGAUUGGGAGAAUAACUGAGUUAAUACAUGAACAGCACUGGUAAACUGUGCCCAGCACACAGUGAGUGUUGAAUAAAUGUGUUAUUCACAUAAAUCUGGAUCUGUGGUGAGAUCCUCACCCUACAGCCUUACUGUUUAAGCAUUUUUACAUCUUUCCAAAGUGAGUGUGUGCGGGGUGGACACCCCACCCCACCCACCCCACCCCCACUAGCCCUACUGCUCUUCCUACAGACGUGCCUGGAACAUUCCAUCACCACUUCUGUGUAUACUUAGCACUGCAUUCAAUGGUGAACAAGACACAAAGGACUGAACAGGUGGCCACAGUUCCAUGGGUUUCAGGCUAUAACAGCUGGAAGAGCAGGGGGUGUGGGCCUGUACGGCAAGCGCCCCCAACCCCCUGGGGGAAGUGGAAGCAGCAGUCAGGAGGUGAUUAUCCAUGGGCAGAGCCUUCAAAAGCCCCAAGGAGAAGGGCCAGAGCUAGUGUGGAUGAACAGGGACCAAUGGCCACACACCCUAUGGCCCCAGCUGCCAUCUUUCCUGAUGCCAAACCGUGCUGAUGGCUGGCUGGACCACCAUCUCUGCCACAUGCCACAAUGGGCCUGGCCCCACUGUUCCCGGGCAUCAGCAUUGCUAGAGUUCACAUCUGAACACAUAUGUGACUACGGGCAAAACUGGUGAGUCCCUAAUAGAAACCUGUUGCCCCACUCUCCUGAGAAGCUCUGCUGUCGGGGAGGCUUCAUUGAAAACUGGCAAUAACCAAGUAAAGCUGCUUGGACAUGCUCUGAGCAGUUGGCAUAUUUAGUCCGCUCCAGAAACUGGAAACCUUAAGCUAGAUAUACUUGUCUUGGCAUUUUAAAAUGUAUUUUCCUUCCCUCCCCUUCCCACUCACUCAUGCCUACCUUUCCCGUAGCUUGGGUCACUCAUGUUGUGUAAUAUCAAGUGGACUCAAAUAGGUUUCCAAAUUUCCUUUCUUUAAAGAACGCAUGAACAUGAGUCUAGAUCUGGGCAUUCAGGUGCCACAGAACAGAAGGAGGUCUGACAAGUACCUAUUGAACAUCUUCCCU
rnacentral:lncRNA from 1 species